rnacentral:rRNA from 1 species
ACGCCAGACUCCUACGGGAGGCAGCAGUGGGGAAUAUUGGACAAUGGGCGAAAGCCUGACCCAGCAAUGCCGCGUGAAUGAAGAAGGUCUUAGGAUUGUAAAAUUCUGUCCUAUGGGAAGAAACAAAUGACGGUACCAUAGGAGGAAGCCCCGGCUAACUACGUGCCAGCAGCCGCGGUAAUACGUAGGGGGCAAGCGUUAUCCGGAUUUACUGGGUGUAGAGGGAGCGUAGACGGCAUGGCAAGUCAGAUGUGAAAGGCCGGGGCUCAACCCCGGGACUGCAUUUGAAACUGUCAGGCUGGAGUGCAGGAGAGGUAAGUGGAAUUCCUAGUGUAGCGGUGAAAUGCGUAGAUAUUAGGAGGAACACCAGUGGCGAAGGCGGCCUGCUGGACGAUGACUGACGUUGAGGCUCGAAAGCGUGGGGAGCAAACAGGAUUAGAUACCCCAGUAACA